rnacentral:rRNA from 1 species
UACGAAGGGGGCUAGCGUUGCUCGGAAUCACUGGGCGUAAAGCGCACGUAGGCGGAUUGUUAAGUCAGGGGUGAAAUCCUGGAGCUCAACUCCAGAACUGCCUUUGAUACUGGCGAUCUCGAGUCCGGGAGAGGUGAGUGGAACUGCGAGUGUAGAGGUGAAAUUCGUAGAUAUUCGCAAAGAACACCAGUGGCGAAGGCGGCUCACUGGCCCGGUACUGACGCUGAGGUGCGAAAGCGGGGAGGCAAACAGGG